rnacentral:lncRNA from 1 species
CACUUUCAUUUGAUUGAUUAGUCGUUUUCGUCAUUGUUUGGUUUAUAUCUUGCCCCUUUCUUUUUUCUAGGCAUAGAAUCUUUGGAACCAACUGGUCGACCACGUUUUUGACGAAUUUUGGACUCAUUUGCUGCCAAAGCUAUUUGUCCUUCAGGGACAUCAAUUUUAGCUAGAGUAUUUGCAGCAUGUAUGUGAGAUUGUGUCACUUUUCUUGUAUCUACAAAAGCAUCAGGAAUUUGAUUUGCAAUAUUU